rnacentral:rRNA from 1 species
UACGUAGGGUGCAAGCGUUAAUCGGAAUUACUGGGCGUAAAGCGUGCGCAGGCGGUGAUGUAAGACAGUUGUGAAAUCCCCGGGCUCAACCUGGGAACUGCAUCUGUGACUGCAUCGCUGGAGUGCGGCAGAGGGGGAUGGAAUUCCGCGUGUAGCAGUGAAAUGCGUAGAUAUGCGGAGGAACACCGAUGGCGAAGGCAAUCCCCUGGGCCUGCACUGACGCUCAUGCACGAAAGCGUGGGGAGCAAACAGGAUAGAAACCCCA